rnacentral:lncRNA from 10 species
AUACCAACUUCAUCUCUCUUUAAGAAUACAAUAUUAGUUUAAAAGAUUGUUCAACUUAAAGCAAUCUUGUAGAGAUUGUCACCCAUGAUUGAUGCUGGGUGGAAGAGUAAACUGUUCCUGUUUCUCCAUCUUGACAGGAAGCAGAAGUUCUCCUUAGCUGAUUUUUCUUCUUGCCUUAUACUGGGUUCUUUAACACCAGAACAAAAAUAAAUAAAUAAAAGAAUCUUCCAGAAAUUCAUGAAGAGACUUCAGGUCAGGAAAGCCUGAACUUUCUCAUCCAACACCCGUUCAAGUCGGAGGAUGCUGAUUAAUUCAUGAUGGAAAGGUAUCAAUUUCACAGCCCAGACCUCUACAUUCUUGAAAUGCUCUUCUCAUGGGAGACAUUAAAUAAGCUUUGAAUUAACUGAGACCUCUGUGGAUUCUAUAACUCAAAGACCCAGGCUGACGGCUGGUGGAAUAGCUACCAUCUCAAACAUGGCGUGAUGCUGCAUCAGAGAGAAAAAUAAGCUCUUGCAUUGACAAUGAAAUGUCUACCCUGUAGUGACUUGUGCUUACUUCCACUCACAAGUGAUUGCCCAGAGCUACUUACCUGGCUCCAAUCUACCACUGGGUGUGUACUUGCAAUCUACCAUGUACCUAGAAGAUGAGAGAAACAAAUUAUUAAUGAUGACCACACCCCAAUACUAACAACAAUUGCAGAAGAAUCAAUGACUUAAACAAAAAUGUGGCCAUUGAAGGAAUAGAAAAUAUAGUGAGUUUAGUGUAAAUUUAAAAGU